rnacentral:rRNA from 3 species
UACGGAGGGUGCGAGCGUUGUUCGGAAUUAUUGGGCGUAAAGCGCGUGUAGGCGGUUUGGUAAGUCUGAUGUGAAAGCCCCGGGCUCAACCUGGGAAGUGCAUUGGAAACUGUCAGACUUGAAUACGGGAGAGGGUAGUGGAAUUCCUAGUGUAGGAGUGAAAUCCGUAGAUAUUAGGAGGAACACCGGUGGCGAAGGCGGCUACCUGGACCGAUAUUGACGCUGAGACGCGAAAGCGUGGGGAGCAAACAGG